rnacentral:rRNA from 1 species
UAGGGAAUCUUCCGCAAUGGACGCCAGUCUGACGGAGCAACGCCGCGUGAGUGAAGAAGGAUUUCGGUUUGUAAAACUCUGUUGUUAGAGAAGAACAGCGCAUAGAGUAACUGUUAUGCGUGUGACGGUAUCUAACCAGAAAGCCACGGCUAACUACGUGCCAGCAGCCGCGGUAAUACGUAGGUGGCAAGCGUUGUCCGGAUUUAUUGGGCGUAAAGCGAGCGCAGGCGGUCAAUUAAGUCUGAUGUGAAAGCCCCCGGCUCAACCGGGGAGGGUCAUUGGAAACUGGUUGACUGGAGUGCAGAGGAGGAGGGUGGAAUUCCAUGUGUAGCGGGGAAAUGCGUAGAUAUAUGGAGGAACACCGGGGGGGAAGGCGACUCUCUGGUCUGUAACUGACGCGGAGGCUCGAAAGCGUGGGUAGCAAACAGG